rnacentral:rRNA from 1 species
GACGAACGCUGGCGGCGUGCUUAACACAUGCAAGUCGAACGGAAAGGCCCUGCUUUUGUGGGGUGCUCGAGUGGCGAACGGGUGAGUAACACGUGAGUAACCUGCCCUUGACUUUGGGAUAACUUCAGGAAACUGGGGCUAAUACCGGAUAGGAGCUCCUGCUGCAUGGUGGGGGUUGGAAAGUUUCGGCGGUUGGGGAUGGACUCGCGGCUUAUCAGCUUGUUGGUGGGGUAGUGGCUUACCAAGGCUUUGACGGGUAGCCGGCCUGAGAGGGUGACCGGCCACAUUGGGACUGAGAUACGGACCAGACUCCUACGGGCGGCAGCAGGGGGGAGUAUUGCACAAUGGGCGGAAGCCUGAUGCAGCAACGCCGCGUGCGGGAUGACGGCCUUCGGGUUGUAAACCGCUUUCGCCUGUGACGAAGCGUGAGUGACGGUAAUGGGUAAAGAAGCACCGGCUAACUACGUG